AAAAGAAUUAACUCCCAACCCAAUGUGAACGUUACCAAACUGUUGCCUCGGCGGGAUCUCUGCCCCGGGUGCGUCGCAGCCCCGGACCAAGGCGCCCGCCGGAGGACCAACCUAAAACUCUUAUUGUAUACCCCUCGCGGGUUUUUUAUAAUCUGAGCCUUCUCGGCGCCUCUCGUAGGCGUUUCGAAAAUGAAUCAAAACUUUCAACAACGGAUCUCUUGGUUCUGGCAUCGAUGAAGAACGCAGCGAAAUGCGAUAAGUAAUGUGAAUUGCAGAAUUCAGUGAAUCAUCGAAUCUUUGAACGCACAUUGCGCCCGCCAGUAUUCUGGCGGGCAUGCCUGUCCGAGCGUCAUUUCAACCCUCGAACCCCUCCGGGGGGUCGGCGUUGGGGAUCGGCCUCCUCUCACGGGGGCCGUCUCCGAAAUACAGUGGCGGUCUCGCCGCAGCCUCUCCUGCGCAGUAGUUUGCACACUCGCAUCGGGAGCGCGGCGCGUCCACAGCCGUUAAACACCCCAAACUUCUGAAAUGUUGACCUCGGAUCAGGUAGGAAUACCCGCUGAACUUAAGCAUAUCAAUAAGNCGGAGGAA
rnacentral:rRNA from 1 species